AAAAGAAAUACUAAGUAAUUGAAUAAAAACGAUAAUUUUAGUAAAUACUAAAUACGAUGAUAUCCCGCAGAAAUGCGAUUUUUUUGGUUACGGCAGUUAGCUUUUUAAAAAGCCACCGACACACAACUUAGGAUAUCAUAGUGGGAUCUCGGAGUUGAAGAUCAAAACAUCGGUCGGCUAGGUGGGCUGUUUUAAAAAUAUUGACUGGCCAGAACAAGACGCAACAACAUCGUAGAAAGUCCAAUCAUUUAUCGUUAUCAGAUUAACUUCAACAAUCAAAAUAAUAAUUAUCAGUUUUUUUAAUUGGAACAUUUUUAAAUACGUCAUUUGUAAAAUUAAUAAUAUUAGUUAUAAUAGUUACAGUUUAUUGCCGCCCAGUCGCAUUCUCUUGUGGGACGGAGUGUAGAAAUUAAUUACUUAAAUACUUAUAUCAGGUAUCUAAAUUAGUAUUUACGAUUUUCCAGCUUGAGAUUUGGCCAAUUUGUAUUCUUGUUUAUUAACUCGUACGCGAGUUAUGUAAAAAACUGACGUCUCAUACCUACCUAUCUGUCGACGCCUCCGCCAAUGUCCAUGUAGAUGAUCUUAAGUUCAGUGUCCCGUACAUUUUGCUGCAGAAUAUUUAAUAUUUAAAUAGUGAAUAUAACAAUUUGGUUAGCCGUUUUAAUUUUAAUUAUGGAUGAUGAUAACUGUCUUCAAUUGAAUGAUGAUCCAAUUCAGUUUGUUCCUGCAAGUGUAAGCAAAACAACAAAUGUGUUUUACGAUGAGAUAACUGGACAGAUAAUUACUGUUCAUUCUGGUGAAUUGACUGAAAUAAUUGUAACUUCUAGUACUCGUUGUAGAGAAAAUAUGGUGUUUAAAAUAGAAGACCGGGGACCAGUAUCUUCAAUAAAAAUGUCCUUAGACUGUAAAAUAUUAACAAUGAUGAGAACAGCAUUAUCUGUGGAAUUAAUGGAUAUUAAAGAAAAUACAUUACAAAGUCCUUAUUUUUUGUAUUGUAAAUUCAAAGGUGCCAAAUUGUUGGGCUUUAUAUGGACUGGUAACAACGAAAUACUAUUAAUUAGUGAUAAAGGUGUAGAAUUAUACCAGAUUGAAGGCCAAGUACCUAAGCAACGCAUAGUUUUUUCAAAAUCUAUCAAUUUGCAUGUGAAUUGGUUUAUUUACUCAAAUCACUCAAAAAUAUUACUACUGUCUAUGAAUUCUUUUGGAGAUUUCCAACCCCUUCAUAUUUUACCUGGAAAUAUAAACAAACUGACAAAAUUAGAAGUUGAUUUAGAUAUUUCUCUUAAUAUACCAAAUCAAUCAAUUAGUGAACGAAAUAUUGUAAUGACAACUGUGUAUAACACACUCAGGAUAUUAGUUUUACCAACAAGUCAAAGUCGCAAUGAAAUAAUAGUUUAUACAUUAAACAAGUAUAGUAAUGAUGAUGUUUAAAAAAUCACAUAUUUUACGAUUGACACACAAUGGUAAAUUGUUGAUUAAUGUAGUUGAUAAUUUGAUUGUCGUUCAUUACCAACAAACAAAGUCUUCUUCUGUAUUCGACAUAUAUAUGGAAGCUG
rnacentral:misc_RNA from 1 species